UACGUAGGGGGCAAGCGUUGUCCGGAAUCAUUGGGCGUAAAGAGCGUGUAGGCGGCUCGGUAAGUCCGCUGUGAAAGUCCAGGGCUCAACCCUGGAAUGCCGGUGGAAACUGUCGAGCUAGAGUCCGGAAGAGGCGAGUGGAAUUCCUGGUGUAGCGGUGAAAUGCGCAGAUAUCAGGAGGAACACCCGUGGCGAAGGCGGCUCUCUGGGACGGUACUGACGCUGAGACGCGAAAGCGUGGGGAGCGAACAGG
rnacentral:rRNA from 1 species